UCAGGAAUAUUGGUCAAUGGGUGCAAGCCUGAACCAGCCAUCCCGCGUGAAGGACGACUGCCCUAUGGGUUGUAAACUUCUUUUGUAUAGGGAUAAACCUACCCUCGUGAGGGUAGCUGAAGGUACUAUACGAAUAAGCACCGGCUAACUCCGUGCCAGCAGCCGCGGUAAUACGGAGGGUGCAAGCGUUAUCCGGAUUUAUUGGGUUUAAAGGGUCCGUAGGCGGACUUAUAAGUCAGUGGUGAAAGCCUGUCGCUUAACGAUAGAACUGCCAUUGAUACUGUAAGUCUUGAGUAUAUUUGAGGUAGCUGGAAUAAGUAGUGUAGCGGUGAAAUGCAUAGAUAUUACUUAGAACACCAAUUGCGAAGGCAGGUUACCAAGAUAUAACUGACGCUGAGGGACGAAAGCGUGGGGAGCGAACA
rnacentral:rRNA from 1 species